UCAUCAUGAAUAACAUUUCAUUUGUUACAGCCUUUUAAGGGACCACGUAUAAGACCGUAAUAUUUUAGUUCUACCAGUAACACCCUAGGCGAAUCGGAUUUCCCUCUACCUUCAAAGUUCUUUCACCUUCUAUUUUUGCGUCGCAUUACCUUUCUUUAAAGGGCCCAUAUCAUGCAAAAUCCACUUUUUAGACAUUUUGGAGCGUCCCUAUGACUCUAUGGGUCACAUAUACACACACUGAGCACGGUAGAAAUGCAUUUCCUGCUUUUUUCACAUUUUGAAAACGUAAAUUUUCUCAUCCAAUGAAAACAGCCACGACCUACUCUGAGGCCGUUCCCCAGGUUUCGUCAUACUGGUUGAAAGUUCUCCUUGCAAAUCCUGAACCACCACCCCCACAAUGAUCCCGAACCAAAACUGGACUUCCGCCAUUUCCCCCCUCUCACUCACCGUGAACAGACCAACACGGCAGCGCCCAAGUCCUCCCAUAGAAGUAGUUCGGUUCUUAGGUGUUCUAACCAACACCAAAGUCUCUUCACUUUACCAAGGGAACAACAAGUGAGGAUUUGUGGGUCACUUUUAUUUUUAACGGACCGGUGCCAGAAACACUGCCUCAGCAUUUAUACGUAUGUGCAUUUCAAACGAGGGUGCGUACAAUGCUGGAUUUGUUUCACGGCUCCUGUUGGAAAAAAAGGACCUAUUCCUAAAGUCCGUCAUCCACUCACUGCAGAGGGCAAAUCCCAGUUGCCCACAUGCAAGGAGGCUGUGAAACAGAGAAAUCACUGCAGACUGUUGGUACACAGACAUCUGCUGCCCAGCUCAGGAGUGAAGGUAUGUAAGUUUGUAUGUACCAACAGUAAGAUAGGUAAUAGAAGAUUUUAAUUGGUAUAUACUGUUUAGAUUUUAUAUUUGAAUUGUAACAACUGUUUAUCUGUUGUUUUAGCACAGACAGGCCUGUCCUCUUGUUUGGUUUAAUUUUUUGUCUGGUAUUGUGUGUUCUUACAUUGGAGAAGGUUUUGUCCUACAUAAUAAUUAACAUUUCACUAAUCUACAAUUCUGAUUGCACUACCUUUUGUUUUGAUGAGGUGAUGGUGAGGACAGCCACAGCUUCCAUCUGGUAGAGGACUGCUUCCGCUCAGUCUUCCAAAUAGUGAUGAGAACAAGGAUCACCACAUCUCCCUGUUUACCCUACUUUCAUGCAUUUCGUCUGCAAGGCCCUGCAAAAGCUUCUCCUUCGUCCUCAAACCCCCAGACUUCUUAAUUAACUCAGUAACCUAUACAUUGCACAUUGGAGUGUGAAGGUAACAGUUUGUUCUAGCUUUGGAGUAGUGGUGUAUUUUUUUGGUUUACAAUAAAGUUGGCUUUAACUAUUA